rnacentral:rRNA from 1 species
GCCAUCAGCUAUAUCACCCUGCAGCUCUCCACUGUAGCUAAGCAGGGUUUAGCCUGGUCAGUACCCGGAUGGGAGACCUCCUGAGAAGCUACUGUUGCUGCUAGAA